rnacentral:rRNA from 1 species
UACGUAGGGUGAAAGCGUUGUCCGGAAUUAUUGGGCGUAAAGAGCUCGUAGGCGGUUUGUCGCGUCUGCUGUGAAAACUCGGGGCUCAACUCCGAGCUUGCAGUGGGUACGGGCAGACUAGAGUGCGGUAGGGGAGACUGGAAUUCCUGGUGUAGCGGUGGAAUGCGUAGAUAUCGGGAGGAACACCAGUGGCGAAGGCGACUACCUGGCCUGUUCUUGACGCUGAGGCGCGAAAGCUAGGGGAGCAAACGGG